UAGUUGGCGGGGUAACGGCCCACCAAGGCGACGAUGGGUAGCCGGCCUGAGAGGGUGUCCGGCCACAUUGGGACUGAGAUACGGCCCAGACUCCUACGGGAGGCAGCAGUAGGGAAUUUUGCGCAAUGGGGGAAACCCUGACGCAGCAACGCCAUGUGUGGGAUGAAGCAUUUCGGUGUGUAAACCACUGUCGGCAGGGAAUAAAGCCCGUGUAUAUCACGGGGGUGAAUGUACCUGCAGAGGAAGCCCCGGCUAACUUCGUGCCAGCAGCCGCGGUAAUACGAGGGGGGCAAGUGUUGUUCGGAAUUACUGGGCGUAAAGGGAGCGUAGGCGGGCUCUUAAGUUGGAUGUUUAAAACCGGGGCCCAACCCCGGCGUGGCAUCCAAAACUGGGAGUCUUGAAUGGGACAGAGGCCAGUGGAAUUGGAGGUGUAGCGGUGGAAUGCGUAGAGAUCUCCAAGAACACCAGUUGCGAAGGCGGCUGGCUGGGUCCACAUUGACGCUGAGGCUCGAAAGCGUGGGGAGCAAACAGGAUUAGAUACCCUGGUAGUCCACGCCGUAAACGAUGAACACUAGGUUUUGAGCUCGUCAACGGCUCAGAGCCGCAGCUAACGCGUUAAGUGUUCCGCCUGGGGAAUACGGUCGCAAGACUGAAACUCAAAGGAAUUGACG
rnacentral:rRNA from 1 species